rnacentral:rRNA from 1 species
UACGUAGGGUGCAAGCGUUACUCGGAAUCACUGGGCGUAAAGCGCAUGUAGGCGGGUCUGUAAGUCAAAUGUGAAAGCCCUGGGCUCAACCCGGGAAUGGCAUUCGAUACUGCAGAUCUUGAAUGCUCGAGAGGAUGGCAGAAUUCCAGGUGUAGAAGUGAAAUUCGUAGAUAUCUGGAGGAAUACCGGUGGUGAAGACGGCUGUCUGGUGAGACAUUGACGCUGAGGUGCGAAAGCGCGGGGAUCAAACAGG